AUAGCUAUUGGGGAAAAUUGGUCAUAAACUUGAUAAUGGGCUCAUUUUCGUAGAUGGAGCUCAUGAAUCUUCUCAAGGGCAGCUUUGACAUCUUGACAAGGAACUUGCCUCAAAGAAGUUUAGUCAUUGUGAUGUAAGGAAUGUGAACUGGACACCCUGAACGGAUGAUUCAUCUUAAACACAAAGCUGAGAUAGAGACAGUGAAGGCAAAGCGAGAAUAAUGGAAGAGACUACAAGAUCAAAACUUCCUUCAAAGGAUACCAAAAUACCAAAGGAGACCACCUGGGAC